rnacentral:rRNA from 1 species
UAAUACGGAGGGGGCAAGCGUUGUUCGGAUUUACUGGGCGUAAAGGGUCCGUAGGUGGUUGCAUAAGUCUGGUGUGAAAUCUUCGCCGCUUAACGGGAAGAAGCCACUGGAAACUGCGUAACUUGAGUAUGGUAGAGGCAAGCGGAAUUCCUGGUGUAGCGGUGGAAUGUGUAGAUAUCAGGAAGAACAUCUGUGGCGAAGGCGGCUUGCUGGGCCAUCACUGACACUGAGGGACGAAAGCGUGGGGAGCAAACGGGAUUAGAUACCCCGGUAGUCCACGCCGUAAACGGUGCAUGCUAGGUGUAGGGGGUAUCGACCCCUCCUGUGCCGACGUUAACACAUUAAGCAUGCCGCCUGGGGAGUACGGCCGCAAGGUUG